UCUGCAACGCUAUAAAGUUGACAAUGGAUGCCCUGGGUAUUCAUGCCGAGGAAGGACGUAUAUAACCGCGAUAGUCGUCGGGGAGGAGUUAUAAUCCAUCGAUCCGGCGGUUUCCGAAUGGGGAAACCCAUCUAUCGUAAGAUAGAGACUGUACUGUAAAGACGGUUCGCAUGGUGUUUAUAAAUACAAUUGAGGUUGGAAGAUAGAAGUUAGAAUAUCUAAUUUCAAACGUCCAAUUUCUACAAGUCUAACAUCAAAUUUGUAAAUAGCAUGCGGACCGGGAUAGCAAUACAGGGGAUACCAUCCGAACUGAAACAUCUCAGUAGGGUGAGGAAAAGAAAUCACGAGAGAUUCCGUCAGUAGCGGCGAGCGAAAGCGGAGGAGCCUAAACUUGUGCGUAGCACAAGAAUGCUGAAUGCAAAAUGUUGAAUGCUGAAUAGAAAAUUAUUUGGCAUUUGGCAUUCGUAAUUCGACAUUCUCGCGCUGCGCGCGAGGGUUGCAGGGCCCCGCCAUCACAGAUCAGUCAAGGGUAGGAGAAUGACUUGGAAUAGUCAAUCAUAGAGAGUGAAAAUCUCGUAUCCGAAACCUAAGACUGCUGGGUGGGGUUCCUAAGUACCAGGGGACAUGAAAGUCCUGUGGGAAUCUGGGUCGACCACGAUCCAAGGCUAAAUACAUGAAUACACCGAUAGUGAACUAGUACCGUGAGGGAAAGGUGAAAAGCACCCCGGAAGGGGAAUGAAAUAGUACCUGAAAUUGUCAACUAACAAGCAGAUAGAGCUUGUGCAUGGCACAAGAAUGCUGAAUGCAAAAUGUUGAAUGCUAAAUAGAAAAUUAUUUAGCAUUUAGCAUUCAUCAUUCGACAUUCUCGCGCUGUGCGCGAGUGAUAUCGUGCCUAUCGAAGAAUGAUCCGGUGAGUUACCCGUCAAUGCAAGCUUAACCCCGCCUUCUGCUAAUGAAGAAUCGUUAGUGGUAGGCGGGGGGAGGCGUAGUGAAAGCGAGGCCUAAUUGGCCGCUCCAGUAUUGGCGGAUAGACCCGAAACCAGGUGAGCUAACCAUGAGCAGGGUGAACACCGCCGAAGGGCGGUGGGAGGCCCGAACUCGUCAGAGUUACAAAUCUGUGAGAUGACUUGUGGUUAGGGGUAAUAUGCCUAUCGAACCUGGAGAUAGCUGGUUCUCCCCGAAAUAUAUUUAGGUAUAGCGGUACAUUAUUCGUGCGAAGGGGUAGAGCACUGACAGAUACGUGUUUCGCAAGGAACUUGUAUCUAUCAAACUCCGAAUACUUUCGUACGUACUGUGCCAGUCAGACAUGCACGGCUAAGCGCGUGUGUCAAAAGGGAAACAACCCAGAUUCACAUCUAAGGUCUCUAAAUGUAUGCUAAGUGGUUAAGGAAGUCAUGGUUUUAAGACACCCAGGAAGUUGGCUUAGAAGCAGCCAUCUUUUAAAGAACGCGUAACAGCGCACUGGAUGAAAGCCGUGGCGCCGAAAAUGAUCGAGGCUAAAGCAUACUACCGACGAUUGAACCCUAGUGCUUUGCACAAGAAUAAGCGAAUAAACGAAUAAGCGAAUAAUGAAAUAAGCAAUGGAAAACCAAAGCCAGAUUUAUUAUUUCUUAUUGAUUAUUGUUUAUUGGUUAUUCUCGCGCAGAGCGCGAGGUGGGUAGGGGAGCGUUCUUGCUGCAGCGAAGCUCAUCCCGUAAGGGAGGGUGGAGCGGCAAGAAGUGAGAAUGCCGGAAUGAGUAGCGUUUGAAGGUGAGAAUCCUUCAUGCCGAAUGCGCAAGGUUUCCGAAGCAACGUUCGUCGUCUUCGGGUAAGUCGGAACUAAGGCGAGGCCCAUAUCGUGGGCGUAGCUCGAUGUAAAAACGGUUUAUAUUCCGUUACAAGUAUGUGUCGAUUAAAACUCAAGGGGGUGACAAAGGGGGAUAGGUCUCGUGGUUGAGUUCGCCCAACCACCAAGCUUUGAAAUAGUGAUAACUGGCAAAUCCGUUAUCGCGUUUAAUCUAAGAAGCAGGGAAGUCCAAACCGCAAGGGGCGGGCAAGAGAGAUAGUUUCGCUUUCGAGAAAAGUCUCAUUGAGGAGCACAUAGUUUCCGUACCGCAAACCGACACAGGUGCGCUGGUAGAGUAUACCAAGGCAAGCGGGCGACAGUGGUUCAAGGAACUCGGCAACAAAAAC
rnacentral:ncRNA from 1 species